GACAAGUUGGGGGAUAGGAGGGAGGGGAGAGCCCUGGAGGAUGUGAAUGGGGAGGGGGCACCCGCCCCCUUCCCCCACCCUUCCUUUUGCUGGGCAGGGGUGGGGGGAGGGGCCGGGCUGAAGCUGCAGCCGCGGCGCUCCGGGAGGGCAGGGCCAGGCAAGGGCGGGACUGGCCCAAGGCAGGCGAACUGGAGAGCCUUGAAGCUAACGGGUCCGGGCACGGGAGGCGGCGGCGGCGGCGGCAGCUUUCUGCACGGGCGGAGGCGGCGGCAGGAGCGGCAGGCAUGGCCCGCGCGGCGCCCAGCGCAGACUGAGGGUCAUGCUGUGGCAACCUGGCACCUAACAGGUGAGGAAGAGCCUGACGGGAUUACUGCUGGCAGGAGCCAAGGGCAGGACAGCCUCACCCCAGAAGCAGGGGUGGGCAGGACAGCUGCCCUGCCGAGGUUGGCAGUUCCAGGGAGCCUGGUGAGGAGCUCAUUCAAGCUCUGCUGACCCACAUGGCUUAGACGCAGCACCUUGCUGAGCAGCAGCUGUUCCCAGCUCCAGAGGACCCCACAGCAGGAGUAGGUGCUUUGUGAUCCGCUGUGCAGCUGCAGCUGGGGCUGCAAUCACCAGGCAAGAGGACCAGCCCCGCUGAUGGGAAGCAGCAGGACAGAAGCUACAGAGAGGAAGGCCUUGGUUUUUGCAGCAGUUUCCUGAUGCCCAGAAAGAUUAUUGGUUUUCUUUCUGGUCUCAGGUGGGGCUCCUUUCCCCAGGCCAAGGAGUCAGGCCAGGAGAGCCCGUGAGUGUGAAGAGGACUCUUGCAUGGAAUGCAGGCCCCCUGAAGCCCGUGUGCUCUCUGCUGUGAUCAGAGUUCCAGGACUUCCCCACUGCUGGGGAGGAGGGGCUGCCUUAGUGUCUGCUCAUGAGCCACAAGGACCCCGACUGUUCCAGACUGGACCUUUUCAAGCCGCCAAAGAGGGGGGUCCCUGGAGCUGGCAGCCGGCAGUCACAAGGGACUAGAGGGCUGGGAUGGACUGACCUCUGCCUUGACAGGGUGGCAGGAGAAGCAGAGCCUUUGUGGCCCAGCUAGUGACUGAGAGACCUGAUGAAGCCUUAAGCAGAGGUUCCAGUGGCUCAGGGACGGGGGGGAGGGCGGGGGGCUUCUUCUGUAGACGGGCGUUCUCCUUUUUUGAGGGAGGGUGUGGCAAGGGUCCCCUGCCCCACCUCGUGCCCCUAUGCCCUUUACAAGUGCUGCCAAAAGAAGCAGGCUGCACCGUGGCUGGCCCCACAGUGGGCUGGGAAAGGAUUGGCCACGGUGACA
rnacentral:lncRNA from 1 species